UAGUCAGAAUUUCCAUAUCAAAUUCUCUGG
rnacentral:piRNA from 1 species